rnacentral:sRNA from 1 species
AUUCAGUGAGUCCUCACGGAGUGCUCCCGACAG